UACGGGGGGGGCAAGCGUUGUUCGGAAUUACUGGGCGUAAAGGGCUCGUAGGCGGCCAACUAAGCCAGACGUGAAAUCCCUCGGCUUAACCGGGGAACUGCGUCUGAUACUGGAUGGCUUGAGGUUGGGAGAGGGAUGCGGAAUUCCAGGUGUAGCGGUGAAAUGCGUAGAUAUCUGGAGGAACACCGGUGGCGAAGGCGGCAUCCUGGACCAAUUCUGACGCUGAGGAGCGAAAGCCAGGGGAGCAAACGGG
rnacentral:rRNA from 1 species